UGGCGGACGGGUGAGUAAUGUCUGGGAAACUGCCUGAUGGAGGGGGAUAACUACUGGAAACGGUAGCUAAUACCGCAUAACGUCGCAAGACCAAAGAGGGGGACCUUCGGGCCUCUUGCCAUCGGAUGUGCCCAGAUGGGAUUAGCUAGUAGGUGGGGUAACGGCUCACCUAGGCGACGAUCCCUAGCUGGUCUGAGAGGAUGACCAGCCACACUGGAACUGAGACACGGUCCAGACUCCUACGGGAGGGCAGCAUG
rnacentral:rRNA from 1 species